UCCAGCUCUCGCCUCGUUCCUAACUUAUAAAUAAUAACUUCAGGAACAAAAUUAUACCAUCUAGGUCCUGCUGCCCAGUUUUGGCUGUUCCUGCAGCUUUUCUUGACAUCUGGGCAGAAGUCUGUCCUAGCAUGGAGUCUGACGUCUGUUAUGCUGCAAUAGGAGGGACCUAUGAUGACUUCCCAAGAAUUAAACAUUACAGACCCAAACAUCUGUCUGGAGCCACUUCUUCAACCGAACCAGGAGCAGUCUGGUGGGGAUUUGUGGAUUUCCCAGCAUGAUGGAAAGGCUAAGUGACAACAAACCUGCAUUCGGAAAGCUCCACGCAGCAGGCUGACCUUGGAGCUGAACCCAGAACAGGUUUUAAAAGAAAACACGAACAAAACGUAACCAAACCAGACCCAGAAAGCAUGAACCACCGCAGGACAACAAAAUUCUCGUCUCUCCUCCUGGGAUCAGGCAGUUCUCUGUCCGUCUGAUGGGGAAACGCAGCAGAUCACAGCUGGCUCUGCGCCCACAGAUAGAGCUGCUCCCCAGCGGCCUCACACUGCUGCCUCAGAUCCCGGUCCAAACCUCCCGCCCGGCCCAAAAGGUCAACCCUCCGCCCCUGGAGCCUGCAACCGUCGCCUCACCUCUGGCACAAACACCACCAGCCUUCCUCUGCCAGCUUGUUACACCCAGACAAA